rnacentral:lncRNA from 1 species
AAGAACGUUUGCUGAAGAUGACCUUAGAGGAGAGACGCAAAGAAUACAUAAGGGACUAUGUUUCUCUGAGCACCAUUCUGUCAUGGAAGGAAGAGAUGAAGAGCAAAGGCCAAAAUGAUGGAUGCAUCCCUAAUGGUUGGAGAAAUGGUGGAGAAUGUCAUGGGAGAGAGAACCUGCGGAUCCUUGCCUGAGACAGUAAUGGAAAGGAAAUCUUACAGCUUGGGCAAUAGGAAAAGAGGCCCUUUAUCUGAUCUUGUUUUCCAGUCCAUUUUGAAUCAAGAAAGACUCAUUGAAGACUCCUUGAGAAGAGUCUGCUUUGAAGAAGACAAACAGAAAAAAAAGGGUGGGCAAGAGUGUGAACUUCCUGAAGGCAAACAGACAAGAAGGGUGGGAGACACAUGCAGUUUUGUUGCAUGUCUAAUACUGACCUUCCUGGAGUCAACAUUGAGAACUGAGACGGUAUUAAGUUUAAAAAUGACUGAAUUUUGUGAGUUUUAAAGUAAACUGCAGAUCUUCUACUGUGGCCAGGCUUUGGAUUUGAGAUCCAGGACUAUGUCUGUCUACUGGCUGUCGCCAUCGGUCUUGAACAUUCAGAAGCACUCACUACUUUGACUGCAUGAGUGAUGGCAGUUGGCUUCUUUUCAGCAGCCCUUCCAAGAUGAAUAAAAAUAGUGUCUGCCAAAACCUAAAACAUACUCUUGUGUGUUUGUCACAGACUUUGUAACAUAUUCCUCUUGCAUUUUAAAAUUUUAUGCUGCUUAACUUUAAUUAUGAUUUUUGUCAAUAAAUAACUUUUCAAAAGAAGUAU